CCGUUACGAAGGCGAACUUUUAAUACGGCCCCAUAUACAAGAGUGGAAGAGAGCAAUGGACAGGAAAUCAAGAGGUCUGCGCCAUUAAAGGAGUGCCGUUACGAAGGCGAACUCCCGCGGCCGGUCAGUCCGUCCCUGAUCUUGAUGUCACAGGUGGCUCGGGAUUUCAGGCCUUUGUCACUGCACCUGUACAGCAAGAGCAAGAGCAAGAGCCUUCAAAGCUGCGUCCCGGGAGGAGGAGGCGCCGUGGCCGUGGCCGCCCCAACACUGCCCUCACGUGUACACAGACCUUCCCGCAGCCACCGACAGGACCUGGCCCCUUCUCUGGUGCCACAGCGACAGACUGACAGCACCCACCGGCACUAACACAGACGAGGCGGCGGCCUGGCACACCCUGGAGGAGGCGACGAAGGCUGUGUGGAGAGGCAAGGAAGGGAAAGGCCAGACUGGUGGUGGUCCUGCGCCUCUUCCCCUUUUGGAGCUGGACAGCCUGCUAGCCGACAAAUUGAGGAGCCUGAACAUUGUGCUAGUCGGCUGCCUUGAGAGGAUGGAGCCGAUCAUCACCAUUGAGCCAUCUGCUGUUCCCCAACUCAAGCAGUGAAGAUGAAAGCUGUGGAGGAACUACAUUUAUUGUCUCUUCUACCACUGCUGAAACGCUCUUGGAGAAUGAAGGGGUUGGUGCUGGCUGUGUAGCCAUCUGUAAUACAGCGUCCAGUGCUGCAUCAUAUGCCUCUGUUCAUCGCCUCUUCAUGGCACGCUGAGACCACUCGUAACCUUGGGCUUGUGAUGAUGGCAGGAAUGGACUAGAAGAUGCUGGACUGGUCAGGAUGGGUGAUGGAGAUGAAGUUGUAAGAGGCGACUCAUUCACUGCAUUACUAAUGUGGUGUUUACUGAUUGCUUCAGCAAGGUCAGUUUCAGUCACCUGUUUACUGUGGCGAGCCAAGUCAUUGCCAAUGUCUGUUCCAACAGCAGUAUGCUCAAAUCCAUCACACAAACCUAUUCCUUCUAUCACAGAGAUGCUUGGCUCUUCAAGUGAGCUCUGUGACAGGGGUAUUGGAAGACUGUCAUCCUGUGAAAGGAAGUUGCCAAAUUAGCAGGGUUGGUUUGAUUUAUAUCAAAUGAUUUAAAUCAAGUGAUUUAAGAGCCAGAUGUCUUAACUGAAAUAAGAAAGAAUUUGAAAAAACAUGGAUCGUUGGAGAAUGUGAGCUACGGACGGUUCCCGCGUGGCUGAUUCCUCUGUGCUUUGAAGGCGCGUGCUGUUGUUGUAAACAAGACAAACAUAUUCGCUGUAACUAUAAUAAACGACUUUCCAAUUAGGGAAAAUAUUUUC